GGUCUAUCCUGCUCAGUGAUUUAAAUUUAAAUAGCCGCAGUAUUUUGACUGUGCAAAGGUAGCAUAAUCAUUUGUUUUUUAAUUGAAAACUUGUAUGAAUGGGUGGACGAGGAAUUUACUUUCUUUAUUAAAAUUGAGUUUAAUUUGAUUAUUUAGUUAAAAAGCUAAAAUUUUCAUUUAAGACGAGAAGACCCUAUAGAAUUUUAUUAAUUAUAUUAAUUUUAAAAUUAAAUUUUAUUUUUGGGAAUAACAUAAUUAAUUUGGUUGGGGUGACUAUGAAAUUAAAAUAACUUUCAUUAAAAAUUUUUCAUUAAUUAAUGUUUAUUAAGAUCCUGAAUUUUGGAUUAUAAGAUUAAAUUACCUUAGGGAUAACAGCGUAAUUUCUUUGGAGAGUUCUUAUCGAUAAAGUGAGUUUGCGACCUCGAUGUUGAUUAA
rnacentral:rRNA from 1 species